UCCUGGUUAGCUCAAUUGGUAGAGCGACCGCCCCAGAAAGGUGUUGGUCCUGGGUUCGAUCCCCGGACCAGGAC
rnacentral:tRNA from 1 species